GUGGAGCAGGGAAGGGAUGAAGGAGACAACAGAACUGCUGGCUCGAGACAUGAUAAGGGGAAGGUCUAAAUGAGGCCCUGGGUCCCAUGGGUCUAUUGGUAGACAGAAGAGGACGCAAUGAGGCAGAUGCAGUGCCCCUGGUGCUUGUUGUAUGCUUGGCCUCCAGAGGCUCUUGUUUGCAAACAACAUCUGUCUUUUGCGCUACUUCAGCACUUCCUUCUGCUAGCCAGGGUCCACCAUGUUGGCUUCCCUGUGACAUCUGCUUCCACCUGGCCCAAGCUGCCAUGAGCAGGUGCCCAGAGGGAGAGAACAGCAUGAGGUGGCUGUGGCAUCACUCACACACAUGCAUAGCCCAGGAUGGAGUGUUACCUAUCCAGCUGAGGUACCCCUGGAUGGGAAGUGAGGAAUACAAACAAUGAAAUGUUUAUCCGAAUGCAAAAGGAGACAGACCAUAUAAGAUCUGAGAUUGUGAAGAAAAACCCAGACGAAUGAAGGAAGAAAGAGAUAAUACUAAAGAUCCAGCACUGAUAUCUGAAAGACAGUAGUGGCUGAAUUACAAGUAUAUGAGCCUACCCAGGAGCAGGCACACAGCAGAUCUGCAGGAUUUGUGCUCUUCUGAACUCUGGGCAAAAACUCUUAGGAACCAGAUUAGUAACAAGUUAUACUGAUGUUUGCAUAGGUUAUUCUCUCUACUCUGAGACAAGACUCAAAAGAUGUGGCUGUCUGCUAUGUAGCAGAGAAGAGGAAGUUCUAUGUGGCAACUGCAUCCUAAAACAAUCCCUGUCCAGGAAGAAUGUUCCUUUGAGUGCACGCAGGAGCAUCAGAGCUACUCUGUGCAAGCAGAAAGUGUGCAGCAUUGACCAGCCACCUGGAUGUGCUCUGAGGAGCACUGGUUCUUGGCUUUCCUGGAAUGCUGGACACCAGCACAGGGAAGGCUGCCCAGGAGGGAGCACAGGCUCCCUGCACCAGCAUCUGUAUCUUUAUUGCAUCAUCACACCAAGUCUUGCUUGUAAGAAGUGAGAUGACACAGUAUUAAAAACAUGGGCAGCCUGUGAUGGCACUGGUGCCACUGCUAGUAGAUGGAACUUGCUCUGCAGAAGUACAGAGAAGGCCAGUGAAUUAACAGAGACAAGAAUAAACUGUUCUACAAUAGGAUUUGGCAACAAAUGCAAAGCAUUGUUCAGUUUGCUGUUGUUGGGGUUGCAGAGGAAGGCACAGUUUCUCAUAGAGAAGCUACAUUUCAGCUCAGUUUGCUGAUCCAGAUGGAAAACUGAGUGACAAGCCUGUACCUCAGCCUCUGGGCUUCUCCAAACUAAGUAGGCUAGUUCUUGUUUUCAGCUGCAUCAGAAGCUCUCUUUGUUGUUUAGCUUCAUUGGAAUAGAUUGAUUCCUCCUAUAGCCUGGAUGCAACUGGUUCUGCCAGUGGAAGCCCUAUCUGUGGGCAGCUCCAUCCCACACUAGUUGUGGGAUGUACCUCCCUAGUGGGAACCCAGGUCAGCACAUUUGAGCAGAUGUGCUCAGAUAAAGAAUGACAGGCCAAAUUUUGAAGUGUAUACACAGCUGCAGAUGUAACAUUUUAGACUGUUGAAAUAGGGAAGAGCAGCUACUGUCUGCUUUAGUGGCAGAAGAUAUUUUACUAGUCUGUCAUGAGUCUCAUGAAAUGAAUCACUGGAUGUAAACAAGGUUCAGUGUAACUGCAGUUCAAUCUAUCCAUGUAUCUAUCUUCACUGUUAGGGAAAGGGGUUUUUUGUUGUUGUGGUUUUUUUUGUUUGUUUGUGUGUGUUGUUUUUUUGUUCAGGAUCUCCAUUCAGCCUAGGUAGCAGAUCACUCUUAAUCUUGCAUGGUGCUCUGCAGGACAAACAUCGUUUUGAUGAAACUGUAAAUUUCCUUUAAUGGAAACUGGGGGCUGUGUGAGAGUCACCACCACCACCACAGAGAACUCUGCAUGUCCAAUGGCCUGUGUUAUUUACUGUCCUAGCUGAAAUGCUCUGAGAGCUGCCUGGCACUGCCAGAGCCAGCAGCCAGCAUGGGCAAGGCCGAUGCAUAGAGGGAAGGUGCAGUCAUGGCCAGGUGAGGCUUUACCACAGGUCUUCCUUGGAGGAUGAGAACUCUUUAUGGUGAGCCAAAUGAGCUCAGUAAAAUUCUCAUUGUGGCCAAGCUUACAUGCCAUAUAUUUCCUCUAUUAGUUUUGCCUUAAGGUAAUGGUUCUGAUGUUCAAGGAUAAGAUCCCUGGUAGUCAAGCUCAUGGACCCAGUGUUCAUUCUUGCCUUUGCUGGUUCUAAAGAACAAGGACAUUGCCAAAUGAUUUUGUUGGUUAGCUUGCCGAUGGCAAUGGAAAGUAAGAAUUCAGAUUCUUCUAAUGAAAAGCUAUUGUUAUAUUUUACUGAGGCAAUUGUUUCCUACUAGGUGGUACUGUGACAGCCAGAAGAAUGCAGGCUGUAAGUACUCAGAGCUGUGUGCUUUCCAGCACACAUCCAUCCUUCAGGCCAGGCUGUCCUUGGAGGAGGCACAGUGAUCCCAAGACCUGCUUGCCUUUCUGUGAUGCAAGCAGCAAGCUCACAUCCAUGUUGCCACCUUCCCUAUACAGCUAUAAGACCAAAGUCCUGGUGUGGGUGAUUCCAGAGGACCUCAGCAUGACUGCACAGAGCAGCAAGAUCUUUUGGAUGGGGAGCAAAUUGCCUUCAAAGCACCAAAGAUGUCCUUCAAGAGAAGGAAUGAGCUCUCAUGUUCUGCCAGCACAAUGCCAAGGAACUUAUGGGAAUGUUUUCAGAAAGAUCAGCCCAGUUCUUCCCCAACCUUUGCUGAGGACCUCUUAGCGAGCACUGCUGGG